CCCUUAGAUGUCCUGGGCCGCACGCGCGUUACACUGAUGCAUUCAACGAGCUUAUAACCUUGGCCGGGAGGCCUGGGCAAUCUUAUUAACGUGCAUCGUGAUAGGGAUAGAUUAUUGAAAUUAUUAAUCUUGAACGAGGAAUUCCUAGUAAACGCAGAUCAUCAAUCUGCAUUGAUUACGUCCCUGCCCUUUGUACACACCGCCCGUCGCACCUACCGAUUGGAUGGUCCGGUGAAGCCUCGGGAUUGUGGUUCUUGCCGCUUUAUUGUGGCGUGACCGCGAGAACUUGUCUAAACCUUAUCAUCUAGAGGAAGGUGAAGUCGUAACA
rnacentral:rRNA from 1 species